AACGUAGGGGCCAAGCGUUAUCCGGAUUUACUGGGCGUAAAGCGCCCGUAGGCGGCCUGACAAGUUGGACGUGAAAGCUCCUGGCUUAACUGGGAGAGGCCGUUCAAAACUGUCAAGCUAGAGUCUGGAAGAGGAGAGCGGAAUUCCCGGUGUAGUGGUGGAAUGCGUAGAGAUCGGGAGGAACACCAGUGGCGAAAGCGGCUCUCUGGGACGUUACUGACGCUGAGACGCGAAAGCGUGGGGAGCAAACAGG
rnacentral:rRNA from 1 species